rnacentral:rRNA from 1 species
GGGGAAUAUUGGACAAUGGGCGCAAGCCUGAUCCAGCCACGCCGCGUGAGUGAUGAAGGCCUUCGGGUCGUAAAGCUCUGUGGGGAGGGACGAACGGCGCCAUGAAGAGUGGCGAUUGACGGUACCUCCUUAGCAAGCACCGGCUAACUUCGUGCCAGCAGCCGCGGUAAUACGAAGGGUGCAAACGUUGCUCGGAAUCAUUGGGCGUAAAGCGCACGUAGGCGGCUUUCUAAGUCGGAUGUGAAAUCCCUCGGCUUAACCGAGGACGUGCAUCCGAAACUGGGAGGCUGGAGUAUGGAAGAGGGUCGCAGAAUUCCCGGUGUAGAGGUGAAAUUCGUAGAUAUCGGGAGGAAUACCAGUGGCGAAGGCGGCGACCUGGGCCAAUACUGACGCUGAGGUGCGAAAGCGUGGGGAGCAAAC